CCAAGAUGGCCGCCGGGCUGGAGGCUCAACGGAAGGGAGGGAGCAGACGCUCUGUAAUCACGCUCACCGCAGCCUCUAUGUGUUCUACAGCUCUGAAUUCCAGCACUCGCCUACAUGUGCUCCAACUGCCAUUAGGUGGAGGGAGUAGCUGGAGCAGAUUGGUAGAGUUGUUGCUGUGAAAGAUGAGAGGUGAUCUUGCCUCAGGGAUUGCCGUCAGUCUGGUGACAUAAAUGUCAGCGGUCUCCAGGGAUCAAUGAGAGGGGAGCUGGUGCCAGAACAUAACAAACUGGCUACUCAAAAGAGACUUAACUGUCAGCUGGCUACACUUAGGGACAGUACCGGCACAGACAGGAAACAGGGAAUUCCAUAGCUGCAGAAAUAUGUACGUAAAAUGGUAAUAAGAGAAAAACCAAAACCAAAGUAAACACCCUCAAUCACAGUGCAACACCUGCUGGAAAUAUUUAUAAAGGUUACAUCGUUUCCUCCCGUAAGGCUUGGAGAAUUUCCUGAGAAGAAGCAAAAAAACUGUUCAGUCAUUUUUAAGGGAUCAGAAAAAAUUUGUC